rnacentral:rRNA from 1 species
AUUGAACGCUGGCGGCAGGCCUAACACAUGCAAGUCGAACGAGUGGCGGACAGGUGAGUAAUGUCUGGGACACUGCCUGAUGGAGGGGGAUAACUACUGGAAACGGUAGCUAAUACCGCAUACCAUCGGAUGUGCCCCGAUGGGAUUGGCUAGUAGGGGGGGUAAGGGCUCACCUAGGCGACGAUCCCUGGCUGGUCUGAGAGGAUGACCGGCCACACUGGAACUUAGACACGGACCAGACGCCUGCGAGAGGCAGCAGUGGGGAAUAUUGCACAAUGGGCGGAAGUCUGAUGCAGCCAUGCCGCGUGUAUGAAGAAGGCCUUCGGGUUGUAAAGUACUUUCAGCGGGGAGGCGUUACCCGCAGAAGAAGCACCGGCUAACUCCGUGCCAGCAGCCGCGGUAAUUC